GAUGAACGCUGGCGGCGUGCCUAAUACAUGCAAGUCGAGCGAACAGACGAGGAGCUUGCUCCUCUGACGUUAGCGGCGGACGGGUGAGUAACACGUGGAUAACCUACCUAUAAGACUGGGAUAACUUCGGGAAACCGGAGCUAAUACCGGAUAAUAUAUUGAACCGCAUGGUUCAAUAGUGAAAGACGGUUUUGCUGUCACGUAUAGAUGGAUCCGCGCCGCAUUAGCUAGUUGGUAAGGUAACGGCUUACCAAGGCAACGAUGCGUAGCCGACCUGAGAGGGUGAUAGGCCACACUGGAACUGAGACACGGUCAAGACUCCUACGGGAGGCAGCAGUAGGGAAUCUUACGCAAUGGGCGAAAGCCUGACGGAGCAACGCCGCGUGAGUGAUGAAGGUGUUCGGAUCGUAAAACUCUGUUAUUAGGGAAGAACAAAUGUGUAAGUAACUAUGCACGUCUUGACGGUACCUAAUCAGAAAGCCACGGCUAACUACGUG
rnacentral:rRNA from 1 species